UGUAAUAGGGUAUGCGGACGUGAAGAAGAGAAGAUAUUUGAAAUGAGAUGAGACAGAAAUGAGUUGAUAAAGAAGUAAUGUUGUUAAAGUUGGCAUGGUGGAAUCAUGCUGGGAAAUAGGAGAUACAAAUUUUGUUGAGUUUGGGGUAAUUUACGUUGUGAAAUAUGGCUGGUGGCUGCACAUUAAUUACCGCAUAAGGCAUUCAGGAAAACUUUUGAUUAUGAAUAAACUGAAAUUAAUUCGGCCUAAACAAUUAUCUAGAACUUAAAGAACAUCACUUAAUAGCUUAAUUAUAACCGUAACACACAUUUAUAUUCUCUUGCCACAUCGUUUGCUACUCGUUUGAUGAUUUGAAUUUUUAUUAAACCUUGAUUAAUAGUUAUAUUUUGUAAAUAAUAAGUCGCUAACGUAAUUAAACUAUUAGUAUUAGGAUUUUAUUUUCCUCUUAGACUUCGAGUAUGUGUUAUUCGCUGUCUUUGCGUGCCUUAAAACAGUUAACCUCCGUAAUGUCGUCUAAUCAUUGAUAAUACCCCAGCAAGUUGUUACACCUACUCUUAUAAGGCCCGACCUGCUGAGAAAGUUCAUUCGCCAGCAGUCUUUUGUUAAUUCAUAAAUCCUGGGACGAUACCCCAACAUGCUUUACAGUUCAGCGACAGCCAGUCUUCUAAAUGCUGAUUUUCAAUUUGUGAUAGCAAACAGUUAGACAUGAUUCCUAUGGCUGAUUGUCUAAAUCUAGGCAACAAUUUCACUACCACUUCCAAAAGAGCAGUGUUCUCUUAUUUUCAACUAACACAAUGUAUUGAAAACCUCCGAAAUAGUGACGUAUACAUCUCCUCACCUUCAGGUCUCCUAGUUCAACAACAAUCAAAAUAGUAUAUGACCAGCCAAAACACCAGCUAGACCUUUAUGUGUCGGCACUGAUGAAAACUGUCGCAACCCCAGAAUCCGGCGCUAUGUUUAUACCCUGGCAUAUAAACAUAUCUGCUGUAACGUUUUCGAAGGCCGUGGUAUACUCCCCUGUAAAUGCAAAUAACAAAGUUCAACUAACGGUAUCCUCUGAUGAAAGAGCCACUAGGUUCGACCUCUACUCACUCUUUUCAAUACCCUCAGAAGGCACAAUACGAAUUACGCAAUUAUUAGAAGAGCAGCAGAAGCGAAUUCAAAAUUUAGAAAAUGGGGUAAAACCAACGGUUAACUCUGUAAAAGAGUGGGCCACACAAGCCUUUACCCUCCCAACAUGGCUUCGAAUUAUCAUUUAUGCAGCUUUUGCUAUAGGGACAUUGACUAUUUGUCACUUGUUGUUCAAAAAGAUUCGAAAAAUGUUUCUGAAAUCCAAUCGCCCAGACAUCAACCAAUAUGAACACCUAAACAGGCCGGCCCGUUUAAUAGACAAUACCCUGUACCCUAGAUUGUCGCAGAUCGGUGGGUCAUCCCAAUCGGGACCACCACCCCCUUUGCAAGGUCCCCCUCGGUAGUUAACAUAAUGUUCCCUCACCCUACCGUGCCUGGCUAUCCAACCGCUCCGCUACCACCUACAGAGUAAGUACAGGUAAAUAUAAAAAUUUAAAACAAAAUAUAUAAAAAUGAUUACAAAACAAAAUACAAAGAUAAGUUUUAUUAAUUGUGUAAAUCUAUAUGUUUAUUUAAUUCAAACAAAUACUCAAGCACAAAUCACUCAUCAAAUCCUUAAAGUAGUUUUAGUAGAUGUUUUAAUUUUAAAAUAAGAUUAGAUUAAAGCAUAUUCAUUUUAAGUAAUGCCAUACAUUUUUAUUCAAAGUGUUCGGCUCUUGUUAUUUAGAUGUAAGUUUUCAUACUAGAAAGAUAUCUUUAAACACUAUUGUGUGAACUGCAAUCGAGUUGACUGCAGUUGGGUUGAGUCUAAUAGAGAUGGCUAUGUGUCCAUACUCUUUAUUACUGUUAUUAUUAUUAUAUGUUGUUAUUUAGAUGUUUUAAUUUAGAUGGGUUUUUAAAAAAAUAAAAACUAGGCUGCUAGUUAGCUUCAAUUUCAAGGUGGAAUGCCUGGUGAGCGUGGGACCGCUCAAAAAGAAACCGAAUGAUGUUAUGUCCUGCCUAAUUUAGCCACCAUAGGUAUUAAGUCUAGUCCUAAAAACACAGUAUCUUAAAAUACUCGGCAAUUCCCAGACAUUCCAUCUUCUAUUUCUUGGUUAAUUAUAGAAUCUUGGUUGAUUCUAUAAUUCUCUUGGUUGAUUCUAUUGUCGUAUAUUGUCGGAUUAAAUUAUAUGUAUUUGAAUUUGAUUCUUACCUAAAGACGUCACCUGACCGUCCUGCAACCCAUACUUCCAAACAGAUAACCUUUUUACCUUGGAAACCUGAGAUACCGCAGAGAUAACACUAAAUGAGCCUCCUACAAGAAGAUAACCACAGACUGGGGGACGCCGUACUCACACUAUAUAACGGCUCGUCGCAGCAAGUCAAUGGGGGAUUUUUCCGCAGCUCUCAGAUAUGCUGACACUUGCUCACACUUCCUAAUACCAGAGAUACCCCUAACCCUACCAACCCCUAAACUGACUAAUACCCUCGGUGACUCCUUCCCCCUAAGGAUCCGUGUCUCAUAUAUUCCCUUAAAGGAUUCGUUCCAAACCUACUAUCUUCCUGACUUAUAAGUCGCCAUAGCCUUUAGUCCUCAUAGUUGGUUAUCACUCAAGCUGCCCGAUUAUCUCUUCGUCCACCUUCGUCUACCUCGAUGUCAUGAUCCUCCCUACUUCCUGCGUACUUGACGCCAUCGUUGAUUGGACAUUUAAAUAAUUUCACCUGAUAUUACUACUUUUACGUUUUGUCGAUAUUGCAUUAUUAUAUUAAAUUGAUUACUACUAUUAGUUCCAUUUCGUUGCAACACCUA